UACAGAGGUCUCAAGCGUUGUUCGGAUUCAUUGGGCGUAAAGGGUGCGUAGGCGGCGCGGUAAGUCGGGUGUGAAAUCUUGGAGCUUAACUCCGAAACUGCAUUCGAUACUGCCGUGCUUGAGGACUGGAGAGGAGACUGGAAUUUACGGUGUAGCGGUGAAAUGCGUAGAUAUCUGGAGGAACACCGGUGGCGAAGGCGGCAUUCUGGACCGAUAUUGACGCUGAGGAGCGAAAGCCAGGGGAGCAAACGGG
rnacentral:rRNA from 1 species